CCCAGAUCACGGAGCCAAUGUAAUCAAAUCCAUGGUGGACCCAGAUCCUAGAAUCGGGAUUGUGUGCGCUGAUCCCUUGCACUGGAUACCCCACCAGGACAUUGACACUACAGAUGAUGUUCCACAUUCAACUGUACAAAAUCUUGGAUGGAUUUUGGAAAGCACAAGUUCCUGGGGAAAACCACAGGAGGGAGAAUGCAGAACAACUCGACUCCACGACACAGCGAAAAUAAUCCUUAACUACGUGCAGGUCACCAAGGUGCCUCCGCAAGUAAUGAGGACAUGAUAAAUUUCACACAACAGUUAUAAGGGUUCUUUUGAAGACCCUGACCUGGAUUUACACGCUGACUUCGGUUCUUUGCGGGAAUGGGACCCGUUCUUCGGGUUUCAGGCCUGGCCAUUGUUAGCAACGUCAAGGAUUCUGCCUGAGAGUCCGGCUUGGAUUUGGAAGCCUAAGAUCUCGGGGCUCUCAAGACAGGUGGAUCGAGAGUCGAUAUCAUGGCAGGAGACCCAUGUGUCAUCAGGGGAGUUGGAAAAUCUACUGCUGUGGGCCCAAAGACCUGGGAUCUUUGAGAUCUUCAGGCACAGAGCUCGAAAAAAAAGUGAUGUAACUGACUCUUAACAUCAUAAACCAGUGAGUUGUUUGUUAUGUCUCCCCACUCGCUGGGAAAAUGGAGACACCUCUUUCUCCCUUAUCAGGGAGCGAGAGAUAACCUGUGGUAUGUCGAAUACUGGGUGAAACACGAAGUCUUUGGGGUAACUGCAAGUCUGU